rnacentral:lncRNA from 1 species
UGUAAAACUUCUCCUGGUGUCAGACUGACAAAAUAUCUACACACAUUGUGGGAGCCUUACACAUCCAGAUACAGAAAUAGUGUAUUUACAACAAUAUAUCAAAUCAAAGUGUAAUAGUGAGACUAGAAUAUAUAGGUGCCAGACGAAAUAUCCAUCAUCUUCUUUCUGCAUAUCAGUACCAAUAAAUGAAGUAGAUUUAUUUUUAGACCUUAAUUUCUGGCCGAGUGGUGUAUUUACACGAAAAUUUUACAGUAAUUAUGGAUAUCAGCAGGUUAACAUUAAUGAUCAGUUGGUUGUCAGUAGUUUGGAUAAGGAUGUGAAGAAGGUGGGCGAGUGUGAUGAUGAAUUUGGGCAAUUGCAUGAGAAGAAGAGUGAAGGUUGGGUAGGUCCAUCUCAACAGGAUGCACCUGACAAUUUAUCCUAGCAAUUAUUGGAAAGUGGAUAUGCAGUGAUGAAUGGAAGCUUGCUAAUGUUUUACCAGAAUGUAUGUUCUAUUAAAAACAAAAUUGCAAAACUAAAAGAGAUUUUGUCAGUUGGUUAUGACAUUAUUUGUAUCACUGACAAGUGAGACAUGGUGUACUGAUACAGAUUGUGACUUCUAUGCCAUAUAUGAAGCUCAUACUUAUGUGCUAUAUGAGGUACAUAGGUUGGGGAGGAAAGAAGGAGGCAUUCCUAUAUGGAUUAGAUUAUGUUCUCUUACCUCAAUACCCUUAAAGCUUGUUAAUGACUCUAUGAUAAUUAUAAAAAUUGUUCAGGCUAAUUUAGUUGUGAUUUGCAUCUAUAUUGCUCCUAAUUUGUCG